rnacentral:rRNA from 1 species
AUUGAACGCUGGCGGCAGGCUUAACACAUGCAAGUCGAGCGGGGGAAGUUGCUUCGGUAAUUGACCUAGCGGCGGACGGGUGAGUAAUACUUAGGAAUCUGCCUAUUAAUGGGGGACAACAUCUCGAAAGGGAUGCUAAUACCGCAUACGCCCUACGGGGGAAAGCAGGGGAUCACUUGUGACCUUGCGCUAAUAGAUGAGCCUAAGUCGGAUUAGCUAGUUGGUGGGGUAAAGGCCUACCAAGGCGACGAUCUGUAGCGGGUCUGAGAGGAUGAUCCGCCACACUGGGACUGAGACACGGCCCAGACUCCUACGGGAGGCAGCAGUGGGGAAUAUUGGACAAUGGGGGGAACCCUGAUCCAGCCAUGCCGCGUGUGUGAAGAAGGCCUUAUGGUUGUAAAGCACUUUAAGCGAGGAGGAGGCUACUCUAGUUAAUACCUAGGGAUAGUGGACGUUACUCGCAGAAUAAGCACCGGCUAACUCUGUGCCAGCAGCCGCCGUAAGAC